UGCUCACGGAGGGCACUGGGGGAGAGGAGUCUGAGCCCAGCCCCCGGUCUGCGGCUGCGGGAAAUCGUCCUCGGCUGCUGUGACUGCUCUGGUUUCUCCUUUCAGAAUUCCAUGCUGGCUGCCGACUCCUGGAGUAGCUGCUACCCUGUCUCCUUCCCAACCUCGUCCUUCCCCAGUGAAAACCAGUGAAUUCUGGUGCUUGGCUUUACUGGCUUGUCUCGCUUGUGGGGCAGGGAGCAGCCCCUUGUUUUUCUGACCUGGUACCUGCUGAAGGACGUGCACUGCGUCUUCUUCACACAAAGAAGUGCUGAUUUCUUCAAACGGAGCUCUGAAGCCAGGCUCCCUCUUUCUCUUUAGUGAACCAAACCAAAGUGGGAGACCAGCAUUCCCUCCUCUCUGUCCCUGUGGUUUCUCUGGGGUGACCUUUC
rnacentral:lncRNA from 1 species